rnacentral:rRNA from 1 species
AACGAACGCUGGCGGCGCGCCUAAUACAUGCAAGUCGAGCGAGAAGACGUAGCAAUACGUUUGUAAAGCGGCGAACGGGUGAGGAAUACAUGGGUAACCUACCCUCGAGUGGGGAAUAACUAGCCGAAAGGUUAGCUAAUACCGCGUACGCUCCUUGGACUUCGGUUCAGGGAGGAAAGCGAUUCCGUGGGUAUCGCGCUCUUGGAUGGGCCCAUGUCCUAUCAGCUUGUUGGUGAGGUAACGGCUCACCAAGGCUUCGACGGGUAGCUGGUCUGAGAGGACGAUCAGCCACACUGGCACUGCGACGCGGGCCAGACUCCUACGGGAGGCAGCAGUAAGGAAUAUUGCGCAAUGGGCGAAAGCCUGACGCAGCGACGCCGCGUGGGGGAUGAAGGUCUUCGGAUUGUAAACCCCUUUCGGGAGGGAAGAUGGAAUGGGGUAACCCAUUUGGACGGUACCUCCAGAAGCAGCCACGGCUAACUUCGUGCCAGCCGCCGCGUAACAC